CGCGGGGUGGAGCAGCCCGGUAGCUCGUCAGGCUCAUAACCUGAAGGCCGCAGGUUCGAAUCCUGCCCCCGCAACCA
rnacentral:tRNA from 2 species